AACAUUAGAAAAAUUGUCAAAUCAUGGCGCUUACAUUGACCGUGUAUUUUGACUUGUCACCUGACACUGUUGAGUUUGCUAGAAAACAACUGUCCAUGAUUUUGGACUGGGACACAUAGUCACAGUAUUUUGAUCUUUCAAGCGGACGAUCAAUCGGCCAAAUGAUUGAUGACAGGAACAACAUUGACACCAUGGCUCGAUCCCUCACACACACCUGAAACUAUUUGUAAUCUCUUUAUAAAUGAAUUUCACCGAUAACAAAGCAGUUGACAAAUCGAGCAAGUUCAUUAUAGAAACAAGAACCCACAGACUUGACCUCUGAGUCACCUUGAACAAGCUGAGGUGUCAGUAGACUGAGAAGGGGUCACUUCACUAAACCGAUUGUGUUCGAUUAUUGGCAUAUUACUGUAUUGACAUGUUUAUCACGACUGAAGUAAACAAAUAAUCAAUACAUGGAAAGUGCAAAGACGUAAGUGUGUUAGGAAAUAGGUGGAUGGGGAAGUGUGCUAGUCCCAUAGUUUUGGCUUUGUGUUUCCUGCCAUUUUGUAACUUUACAAUGGUUGUAAUUGUCUUGAAAAUAUUUAUGUCAAAGAUUUGUUUGUAUCUUCCUUUGAGUUAUUUCUGUGAACACCUGUAAGUCUUGUUUAAAUGUAUUUCUGGAGUAUCAUGCUGCUGACUCCUGCCCCUAAAAUUGGCUUCCACCUCUUGUAGUUAUGUUUUUUACACUGCAAUAAACUAUGCUUGUAACAAACACGCUUAUCAUGAACUGACUGACAAAAUGAACUGGGUUUUUCAGUUUGGGUCACAUGCUGUAUAUUUUUCGUCUAAAUGCAUAGUACAAGGGUUUGUGGUCCCUUAGUCUGUCCCCGGGGCGGUGGGGUAGCCUAGUGGUUAAAGCAUUGGCUCGUCACGCCAAAGACCUGGGUUCGAUUCCCCACAUGGGCACAAUGUGUUAAGCCCAUUUCUGGUGUCCCCGCCGCGUGAUAUUGCUGGAAUAUUGCUAAAAGCGGCGUAAAACUAAACUCAGUCAGUCAGUCAGUAGUCUGACCCCAUUAUUUUUACCUUCUUCCUAGACCCUCCUGCAAUGCUAAAGCCCAAAAUUAAGUAAGUCUAGAUUUCCUCAGGUACAGGCUCUGAAUCUCCAUUCUCCUUUUCAAUUUGUAAAUAAUUGUUUGUUUUAUCGAAAUUAUAUAUAUUCAGAGACUAAGCCUUAGUCUAGUGGUCCCUUUGAAUUUGCUAUAACUGUAGUUUACUUUAUUUCGACUCUACCUGGGUUUUGCACUGGACUAUUUCCUCAACAUGACAUUCAUAGCUUGUCAGACUGCCAGUGGAUAGAGUGUCUGCUUGGAGAGUGGAAGGUCAGAAGUUCAAGGCCAUGUCAGUAGUUCAAGGCCAUGUCAGUAGUUCAAGGCCAUGUCAGUACUUCAAGGCCAUGUCAAACGUUUUUUACCCUGUCUGGUGCUAGACAUUAAUGCAUAAAACACAGACUGUCGGCUCAAAGCCAGUAGACUGUGUCUGAGUGAGUUUCCAUGUUCAGCUGCAGCAGUAUGCUGGCUCAAUAAAACCAGCAUUACUCAGGACUGGUACAAGCAUUCUCACACACUUGGCAAAAUAAGUGCAAUUACCCGGUAUGUUAAACAGACACUUAAACCCCAUUUCACAUCACACCAAAGGUUUCAUAUUCAUAGGAAAACCUGAAUACAGUCACUAUAGCCUGGUCCUUGACCCCAAGGCUUGUGGCCAAGAGGGCAAUAGGUUACAUUAGAAUGAAGUGGACAUUAAUUAUAUUCUUCCUCCCUAUGUUGUCAGUUUUGCGAAAUGUCACUAGAAAUACAAAUACAUAUUUUGCUGAAUUGCUGAUGAUUAUUACUUUUCUCAUCUUGAUUGUCAUUGGUGACUACCUGUAUAUGCAUAAUAGUGAUGAUGAUCUUAAAAAAAAUAUUUAUCAUUUUGUCGUAAUUUCCGUUGAUGUUUGUUUGUUGAUGCUAUGUUUGACUGGUGGAAAUAUUGUACACUGGUUACUUUCCUUCUCUUCCUUCCAUUUGUAAACAGAUUGUGUGAACACAUUUGUUUUGGAUGUAUUGUAAUCCUUCCAUACCUUUGUAAACAGAUAGUGUAUAUAUCUUUGAGUUGUACACUGUUAUUUUCUUAGCUGUUCCUUCCAUUUGUAAACAGACUGUGUAUGCAUGUACUAGUAUGAUAUAUGAGCAGUAUUUUUCUAAUCCUUCCUUCCAUUUGUAAAUUGAUAUACAAAGGGUAUGCAUGUUUGAGUUGGCUGCAAAGACAGUUAAUCGCCCUGUGUCACCAGCAGUGUUACCAUGGUUACACAUGUAGGUAAAGGAUGUGGACGAAGGUGGAAGAAUAUUUCACGAUCAGCAGUAUGUGGCAAACUCUUUUAUGUCUACUAACCCGAACUUGGCACUUGAAUCCAUUUGUAUUACAUUUCAUAUUAUUAUGUGGCCUAUUAUUACCAAAGAUUUCCAGGAUGCUCCUGGAUUCUGACUUCCAAAAAAGUUGCUUUAGAAAAUAUGGCUGCAUGGAGAAAAGAAAUAAUUUUUUAAGGAUCUUUCUGUCUGUGGGGACCCAAGAAAAUAUGUGUCCAGUGUGAUAUUUCAUGCAACUACAUGUAUUAAAAGUCAUGGUACAAAUUAUUGUGAACCAAAUAUGUGAAGGAUCGUGAAUUGUUUGGGGCAUGUUUUUCCUUAUUGAAGAAACAAAUAAAAAUAUCCUCCCAAAAAAUUCAUGAACUA